rnacentral:rRNA from 1 species
UACGUAGGUGGCAAGCGUUGUCCGGAUUUACUGGGCGUAAAGAGCGCGCAGGCGGUCGUUUAAGUCGAAUGUGAAAGCCCCCGGCUCAACUGGGGAGGGUCAUUCGAUACUGAUCGACUUGAAGGCAGGAGAGGGAAGUGGAAUUCCGGGUGUAGUGGUGAAAUGCGUAGAUAUCCGGAGGAACACCAGUGGCGAAGGCGACUUCCUGGCCUGUUCUUGACGCUGAGGCGCGAAAGCUAGGGGAGCAAACGGGG